AUUGAUUUGAGAAUAUGAUAUAUUGACUUUAAGUGUACUUUUGCUUAGGACAUCAAAUUACUUUUGAGAAAUGGUACGAGGAUUGCUCUAGGAGAAAGGAGAUGUCUGGUGAAAUUUGACAAAGAUAAUACAUGAUUGAUCUGCGUGUUGGAGAAUGGAGCAGAUGAAGCGCCUCAACAGCUGGAAUUUGAGAUGCACCAUAGAAAGCAUCCUAUCUGGAUGUAUCACGGCUUGGUACGGCAACUGCUCUGCCCAGGAUACAGGAGCCUGAAGGCACGUACCACCAGAUUUAAGGACAGCUUCU